rnacentral:lncRNA from 1 species
GGCAGCCAAUUUUAAGGCAUAUUCUGGGGUUGAUCAGGGGACCUUUAAGGUGCUCUCGGAUCUCAGUUCUUGGUCAGGGAGAUUGAUUGCUUCAGUGAUUGCUCCUGCAAAGGGGCAAGAACUGGUCGAGAUGGGGCUUCUGGGGUACCUCUGGCCCCUCUGAUGCCCAGUCAACAAAGGAAGGCAUGGACUUUUGCCUACCUUAGAUGUCUAUUUGAUAUGGGUCUGAGGCUGAUCCAAAUCAACCUCCAGCACUCACGAGCUGCUUCUGCCCUUUUGGGUCGGCUGCUCGUGGGGGGCUAUUAUGACUUUGCUCUCAUUCAAGAGCCAUGGCACUAUAAAGACCGAAUUUGGGGCUUCCCUGUAAGGAAGGUGAGUUGUUUUCUUUUUAAAUCUUGUACUUUUGAUAAUGGUCCUCGGAC